rnacentral:lncRNA from 13 species
CUGUGAUUGUGGAUCUGCACUCCAGCCUGGUUAACAGAGAUCCUGCUUCCAGAAAAAAAAUGUAUACCUACCCUAUUUUUCAUGAGAAAUUCUCUAUUAACAUGGGACAGCCUAGUUUUACAAAUAUGUUUUAGUCUUUACUCACAUAACAAUCACUCUUAACAAUUCAACUAAGUUCAACCCAACCCAAUGACAAUUUGUUUAAUUAAACUAAGCCUCCCGUCCCACUGAAACCUCCAAUCCAUAAAAAAAAAAAAAUGAAGUUUCCUCCACUUGCUCUGACCUCCCUUUGCUUUUUCUUAAAAAAAAAAUAAUAAUAAUAAUAAUUAAACUAAGCCUAUUACUUGCUUACCCUGCUUCAGUUUCUGGGCUGGUAUUUGGAGACAUAGAAGACGAAUUAGUCACAACCCUGUGUUCACAUUCCAGCAGGGCAGAGGCUAAAGCAGUGAUCUAUUUGGUUGCAGAAAUAUUUGAAAGGAAAUACAUGCGUGUGUAG